CAAUGACCUGGAGAACUCUCAGGCUGUGGGGUGGAGAGAAGGCCAUUCUGAGGUCAACUGAAACCUCACUUGAGGGGCAGUUCCGUAGAUGGGAAUGAGGAGAGAGUCAUGGCCACAGCCACCUGGCCAAGGAGAGAGGCCAUAACUGCCAGACAGAACCAAGGAUGGAGGGACUUCAGCAGCACGAACAAUCCACACUCAGCAUGGGUCACUCUCUGGGACACACAUUUCCCUCUGGCUGAAAGGCUGAGCUGCUCCAGGGCCAACUGUGAGGAAGAAGAGACCACUCACCUGUAAUUUCAACAGCAACAAAAGACCUGAGGUUCCACCAUCAGAACUUCACGCCCUAAGGAAGAUGCAGCAUUUCCUGUAAAAUGCAAGUGCUCCCAGGCAGAGGUAGCUCCCGAAGCCAUGAUCAGUUAUGUAUACCUUAGUGGCAGCUGAUUAACAGACUCUUCCCCAGAGCCAGCUGACAGGAAGCACAUCGGGGUAAAAGGGAAGAUGAAAACUUGGGUGCCUGGAGGAAGGGAACAAAUGCGAGCAGGAGCAUGCUGGACAGGCUUUAGGGACCUGCUUGAGCAGAACAUGGUAGAAGUGAUGGACUGGGGCUUCUGAGGCUAAGCCAUAAGAAGCCUUGAGAAUUUCACCUGGCCCUCACUGUCUCUGGGAGCCCUGAGCCAUGAUAGAAGAAGUCCUUCCUAUAUUGAAUGUCCUUGAGACCUCCAGUACUGGAAAGGGCAUUUGUAGAUGCUCAGACCAACAGUCCAAACUGAGCCCAGUCUGCCAACUUGCCCUGCCAAGGUGUCAGAUGCAUAUGUGAAUGAGACCAUCCUAGACCUGCUGAUAGCCCAUCACCCGGCUGACUGCUACUGAGUAACCUCUGCCAACUUCACGCCGAACACAGAACUGCUGAUUUGAACUCUGCCUGAAUUUCUUGGCCCACAGAACAAUGAGAUAUAAUUAAAAGGCAA
rnacentral:lncRNA from 10 species